GACGAACGCUGGAGGCGUGCUUAACACAUGCAAGUCGAACGAAGUGGCGAACGGGUGAGUAACGGGUAAUCAACCUGCCCUUCAGAGGGGGACCAUAGUUGGAAACGACGGCUAAUACCGCAUACUGAAGGAGGGGAUUGCGUGUGAUUAGCUAGUUGGAGGGGUAACGGCCCACCAGGGCGAUGAUCAGUAGCCGGUCUGAGAGGAGGAACGGCCACAAUGGGACUGAGAAACGGCCCAGGCUCCUACGGGAGGCAGCAGUGGGGAAUCUUCCGGAAUGGACGAAAGUCUGACGGAGCAACGCCGCGUGAGUGAUGACGGCCUUCGGGUUGUAAAGCUCUGUUAAUCGGGACGCGGUACCGGAAUAGAAAGCCACGGCUAACUACGUGCCAGCAGCCGCGGUAAUUC
rnacentral:rRNA from 1 species